rnacentral:rRNA from 1 species
AUUGAACGCUGGCGGCAUGCCUUACACAUGCAAGUCGAACGGCAGCACGGGUGCUUGCACCUGGUGGCGAGUGGCGAACGGGUGAGUAAUAUAUCGGAACGUACCUUAUUGUGGGGGAUAACGCAGCGAAAGCUGUGCUAAUACCGCAUAAUCCCUAAGGGGGAAAGCGGGGGACCGUAAGGCCUCGCGCAAUUAGAGCGGCCGAUACCUGAUUAGCUAGUUGGUGAGGUAAAGGCUCACCAAGGCAACGAUCAGUAGCUGGUCUGAGAGGACGAUCAGCCACACUGGGACUGAGACACGGCCCAGACUCCUACGGGAGGCAGCAGUGGGGAAUUUUGGACAAUGGGGGCAACCCUGAUCCAGCAAUGCCGCGUGAGUGAAGAAGGCCUUCGGGUUGUAAAGCUCUUUUGUCAGGGAAGAAACAGCAGCUCUAACACAGUUUGCGAAUGACGGUACCUGAAGAAUAAGCACCGGCUAACUACGUGCCAGCCGCCGCAGUAA